rnacentral:rRNA from 1 species
AGUACAGAGGGUUGCCAAGCCGUAAGGCGGAGCUAAUCCCUUAAAGCUACUCUCAGUUCGGAUUGUAGGCUGAAACUCGCCUACAUGAAGCUGGAGUUACUAGUAAUCGCAGAUCAGAAUGCUGCGGGGAAUGCGUUCCCGGGUCUUGUACACACCGCCCGUCACACCACGGGAGUUGGAGACGCCCGAAGCCGAUUAUCUAACCUUUUGGAAGAAGUCGUCGAAGGUGGAAU